rnacentral:misc_RNA from 1 species
AACGCACAUUGCGCCCUUGGUAUUCCAAUUGGGCAUGCCUGUUCGAGCGUCAUUGUACCCUCAAGCUAUGCUUGGUGUUGGGCGUCUUUUCUGCCUUGGUAGGACUCGUCUUAAAGUUAUUGGCAGCCGCUUUGCCAGCUUCUUGCGCAGCACUUUGCGCUUUGAGAAGUUUUCGGUGAGCGAGCGUCCACUAAGUCUUUCCAAGUUUGACCUCGAAUCAGGUAGGGAUACCCGCUGAACUUAA